rnacentral:piRNA from 1 species
ACGGAUUAGAUAAGGAAUGCGGAUC